rnacentral:rRNA from 1 species
UACGUAGGGUGCAGGCGUUAAUCGGAAUUACUGGGCGUAAAGCGUGCGCAGGCGGUUUGCUAAGACAGGUGUGAAAUCCCCGGGCUUAACCUGGGAACUGCGCUUGUUACUGGCAAGCUUGAGUGUGGCAGAGGGGGGGUGGAAUUCCACGUGUAGCAGUGAAAUGCGUAGAGAUGUGGAGGAACACCGAUGGCGAAGGCAGCCCCCUGGGCUAACACUGACGCUCAUGCACGAAAGCGUGGGGAGCAAACAGG